rnacentral:tRNA from 1 species
GCGUCUUUGCAAUGGAUUUCACAGACUUCUAUUCCGUAGAUCAGAGGUUCGAAUCCUUUCAGGCGUGCCA